rnacentral:rRNA from 1 species
GGAGUUAGCCGGUGCUUCUUCUGUGAGUGAUGUCCUUCCUGCCGGCUAUUAACCCGCAGGCCUUCUUCCUCACUGAAAGUGCUUUACAACCCGAAGGCCUUCUUCACACACGCGGCAUGGCUGGAUCAGGGUUGCCCCCAUUGUCCAAUAUUCCCCACUGCUGCCUCCCGUAGGAGUCUGGGCCGUGUCUCAGUCCCAGUGUGGCUGAUCAUCCUCUCAGACCAGCUACGGAUCGUCGCCUUGGUGAGCCGUUACCUCACCAACCAGCUAAUCCGACAUAGGCUCAUCCGAUAGCGCGAGGCCCGAAGGUCCCCCGCUUUCCCCCGUAGGGCGUAUGCGGUAUUAGCCUGGGUUUCCCCAGGGUUAUCCCCCACUACCGGGCAGAUUCCUAUGCAUUACUCACCCGUCCGCCGCUCGCCACCAGGGAGCAAGCUCCCCGUGCUGCCGCUCGACUUGCAUGUGUUAGGCCUGCCGCCAGCGUUCAAUCUGACCAAGAUCAAAUUCUGA